AAAGGCCACACCUCGCCGCGGAUAGAUGGCUCGAUACCCCCAAAGAAGAUGGCCUGGCGUGGGGGCAAACGCGGUGAGCGCAAAGAGCCUAAGCCAGACGCCGAGGCUGGGCAUGAGACAAGCACUGAGAUGAUUUUCAAGAGCAGGCACCAGGGGGGCUGAGAGAAACUGGCUUCAGCAGAUUGAUUGCCUAUAACAUGGCUCACAUUGUGACGUUUGAAAGUCACAUUGAGCAGGACAGGCUGACAACCUGUCGACAUGGAUGAUCCAUCGCAGCUCAAGGUCAGGAUCAGCUUUUCUGGAAGUAGAAAGACUCACCUUGCGCAGCUUGUAUUCCUCCUCUACUUGGCCGUUUUGAGUGAGAUGCCUUAGCCAAGAGCCGACAUCCAGCCUCCGGUAGAGCUUCUCUUCAGGAUGGCUCUCGGCCGACGGCAGUGUGGACCUCUGGAUGGAGAACUGCAUGCAGGACUUCUCGUUCGACACCUAGCGCGGGCAGACAGACGAGCAGGGGAUGAUGGGAAAAGGACAGAACGGGCAAACUAGGCAUCGGAAUGAAGAGGAGAAAAGAUGAAAAGAAUGGAAGAGACUGAUUGGAAAUAAGGUCAAGGUUUUAUGGAAAUGUUCAACUGAGACGUGAGUGAUGGAUUGGGCUGCAUAUUUUGUUUGCGUCAGUUGAGGCUUUGCCGCCUUUCCCACCUGCUGUGUCUCCCUGCAGCACUUCCACUGUUGGAAAACCUCGGCCAGCUUGUCCAGGCCUGCGUGGUGAAAGUGGAGGACCUUGUACUGGCUCUCCCGGCUGGCUAUCACCAGCUGGCCGCCGGUGCAGGCUUCAUCACUGAGGAGGAGGAGGGCAUUGCAGUUGCGUUUGACAAAUUGCCAUUCAGCUCACACUUACCUGAAGAAGAGGCGCAGCGACCUCAUGUGGCCCAGAUCUACUCGGAAGACGCCGCACAGCUGCUCCAGCGCCAGCACCUUCUGCUGCUCCUCCCAGCGAGCGCCCUGCGACUGGCCGUUGCUCUCUAGGCUAGAGGCCGAGCUCACCGACUGCUGCAUGAGCUCCUCCGACAGCUCCCUGUAGGGAAGACAAAAAGCAAACUGGUGAAUUCAAGCACACGUCAAGUGAAGCCCAAGCAGGAAAAGACCAGAAUGCUCAAACAGGCAAAAAUGGCCGAGUUGCUGAACGUUUGGCAGCUGGCAUGACUUUCUCUUUCCAACACACAAACACGCACACACACACGCACGCACACACACACACAGGCGCGUUAAUGGAGCAUAGCUAAUGACCUGACCAUGCUGUUGCCCCCUACACGUCUCCUGACAUGCGAGUGGUGAGAACCAGCGCAAAGUGCUGAAAUGUGUCCAAGCUGCUCAUACUUAAAACUUAAGUCACACUUUAUUCAAAACAUUCACCAAAUUCAUUGUCUUUGCUCUCUUUGCGACUUGUAAUCCUAAAUCUUACGUAACAAAUUCAGCGCCGAGUUUGCAAGAAUGUGCACAAAUGAAAAACAUGCGAGUGAUACUUGAGCUCCAACUUCCGAAAGACGAGGACGAUCGAUGGGGACAAUCCAUUCUUGUCUUGUUUGCAAAGUAGUAAAGGCUUUCUGAUGA